GGGGAAUAUUGCGCAAUGGGGGGAACCCUGACGCAGCAACGCCGCGUGAGUGACGAAGGCCUUCGGGUCGUAAAGCUCUGUCAAUUGGGACGAAGUCUAUUAAGCCAAUACCUUAAUAGGUGACGGUACCAUUAGAGGAAGCCCCGGCUAACUACGUGCCAGCAGCCGCGGUAACACGUAGGGGGCGAGCGUUGUCCGGAAUUACUGGGCGUAAAGGGCGUGUAGGCGGCUAAGUAAGUCAGUUGUGAAACCUCUUGGCUCAACCAAGAGCUUGCAAUUGAAACUGCCUAGCUUGAGGGUAGGAGAGGAAAGUGGAAUUCCUAGUGUAGCGGUGAAAUGCGUAGAUAUUAGGAGGAACACCAGUGGCGAAGGCGACUUUCUGGCCUACCCCUGACGCUGAGGCGCGAAAGCGUGGGGAGCAAAC
rnacentral:rRNA from 1 species